rnacentral:rRNA from 1 species
GAUGAACGCUGGCGGCGUGCUUAACACAUGCAAGUCGAACGGGAAACCUUUUAUUGAAGCUUCGGCAGAUUUAGCUGGUUUCUAGUGGCGGACGGGUGAGUAACGCGUGGUUAACCUGCCUUAUACAGGGGGAUAACAGUCAGAAAUGGCUGCUAAUACCGCAUAAGCGCACAGAGCUGCAUGGCUCAGUGUGAAAAACUCCGGUGGUAUAAGAUGGACCCGCGUUGGAUUAGCUGGUUGGUGGGGUAACGGCCCACCAAGGCGACGAUCCAUAGCCGGCCUGAGAGGGUGAACGGCCACAUUGGGACUGAGACACGGCCCAGACUCCUACGGGAGGCAGCAGUGGGGAAUAUUGCACAAUGGGGGAAACCCUGAUGCAGCGACGCCGCGUGAAGGAAGAAGUAUCUCGGUAUGUAAACUUCUAUCAGCAGGGAAGAUAAUGACGGUACCUGACUAAGAAGCCCCGGCUAACUACGUG